rnacentral:tRNA from 1 species
GCCUUCGUGGUGUAAUGGUAGCACACUCGGCGCAUAUUCGAGAGGCCCAGGUUCGAGUCCCGGCGAUGGCA